GGGUCUCGUAGCUAGCUCUGUAAACGUGGAUGAUCACGUGGGUUUCGCAAAGCGUUUCUUACAGAGUUCUUUGGCAUUCUGUCCACCUCCUCUUUCUUCGAUCUCUUUCUCCCUCUCUUGCUGUGUAUGUAUGUGGUUUAAUGGAUGGAGGUGGGCAUACUGCCAACAGAGUUCUGUUGGAUUCUCUUUGUAAAACCCUCGUGAGUGUAUAUAUGUAUCGUUACGCAGUACUCGAUCC